UACAGAGGUGGCGAGCGUUGUUCGGAAUUACUGGGCGUAAAGGGCGCGUAGGCGGUUCGUUAAGUCCUGUGUGAAAUCCCCCGGCUCAACUGGGGAACUGCACAGGAAACUAGCGGGCUUGAGUUCGGGAGAGGGAAGCGGAAUUCCGGGUGUAGCGGUGAAAUGCGUAGAUAUCCGGAGGAACACCGGUGGCGAAGGCGGCUUCCUGGACCGACACUGACGCUGAGGCGCGAAAGCUAGGGGAGCAAACGGG
rnacentral:rRNA from 1 species